AGGCGCGGGGCGGCGGGAAGAUGGCGGCUGGCCGCUGGUGUCGUGGAGCUCCUUCUGCUGGGUUCGGUCGGCUCCUCGAAGCUUCGCUUCUAUUUCCUACCGCUUUGUCUAAAACCUGAAGGGAAGCAAAUGCUCGGCUCACGAACGCGCGUGACCCCCGGCUGUGUCCGCUCCGAGCUCCUGCGCUGCUCUGCAUCGCCGCUCCUGCUGCCCGUGGCUGUGGGGCAGAGCGGAGCUGAUGCGAGGUUCAGUAUCUUUCCCUGGGAUCUUCCUUCAUCUCCCAGUUGGAAUAGAACGUGCUGCUCACUGCAUGAAUGGGAAAGUGUGUGAAACAGACUUUGUUGGUGAUGAUGCUACUGAGAGAAAAGUGAGCCGUCCCGCUGGGCCUCAUCCCACUGCGACUGCUGCUGCAAGAACGGCAAAGGCGAGAAGGAGGGUGAGAGCGGCACGUCCUGCAACGAGCUGUCGACGUCCAGCUGUGACAGCCAGUCGGAGGGCAGCUCCCCGCAGGAGACCGUCAUCUGCGGCCCCGUCACGCGGCAGCCCAACAUCCAGACACUGGACCGCCCGGCCAAGAAGGGCCCCGUGCUGCUGCUGCAGCACUCUGAGAGCCGGCGCAAGAGCGACCUGCUGCGGACGCUCACCUCGGGCUCCCGUGAAUCCACCGCCGGCAAGAAGAAGGCAGUGAAGGAGAAGCUCUCCAUCGAAGAGGAGCUGGAGAAGUGCAUCCAGGAUUUCCUCAAGAUCAAAAUUCCAGACAGGUUUCCAGAAAGAAAGCAUCCCUGGCAGUCAGAACUGCUGCGGAAGUACCACCUAUAGGUGGGAUGAUACCCAUUGUUGUCACAGUGGGAUACGGAGUGAUGCGGAAACAAUUCCCGAUAGUAAUUAUGUGUUAGGUCACAAAAAACCAAUCCAUCUCUAUAGUACUGCCUAAUUUGCCUAUCUCACCUUAACAUUUAUAGUCGUAGGGUAACGAUAUUUUUCCAGUUGUGGAAGCACAAUGACAAAUGUUUUUCUUUGUCAACUCUGAGUCUUACACAAGCAGAGUACCUUAAGGGCACGCAGGGCUGGCAGCGCGCGCUGCUUUGCUCUCUGGGGGUGUGCAGCUCCGUACCUGGGGGCAGCAGGGCUGUAGGAGCACUGUGCCAGGACAGCAUUGCCUUCAGCACCUGGGUGUGGGUGUGCGCACAUAUAUAUGUGUGUAUAUACAUCUCCGUGUAUAUAUAUGUAUAUAUAUAUCAGAAUACAUUGCUGGCAGAUUGGCUCCCUCCUGAUCACUGCACUUUCUCAGGAAAGAGCACUGUUAGCAGCUGUGGAUGGUCGGCUCUUUGCAGUCUCUGAGGGCUGCAGCAGAACCCCUUGCUCUGUCUCUCUCUCCUUUCCUUUUUCUGAGGCACCAUGAAUGCAUUUCCCAGCAGACAGGGACAGGGCUCUCUGUUGCUGUGUUCCAUGUGUUUCUGGUGCUCUCUCUCCAUUGUCCCUCGCCCCUGCUGUACCCUCAGGCUGUGUGGGGGCCACGCGCUCAGCCCACACUGGUGGUGGGGCAGGCACAGCGGGCUCCCAUCUGGUGUGGAAGCAAAUGCUGGAUGAUCGGCCUGAUGAGACUUGCUUAAUGCUCUGACUGGAAGGGAAUGGGUCUCUGGGUCAGCAGCUGUGUGCAUUCCAGAGAACAGGAAAUGAGCUGCAUGAAGUGCCCCUGGGGCUGCUGUGGGUGCAGAGUGGCACCGCUGUAGGGGGAGGAAUGAGCACUGAGGUGCUCAGAGAAAUUAUUCAUUGUCAGACAGCACAAAAAGAGUGAAACACACAGAUAUGGGGCUGGCUGUAAUGGACAGCUUGUCUCAGACUUAUUUAGCAUCAUCUAGGCUCCAGAGAUCCUGAAUUUGAUUCUGCCAUGGGAAAUGAUGUCAGUGUGCACAGGUUAUCUCUGCUGAUCCUAAGGCAGUUUCAGUGAGGGGCUCCUCUGUGCUUGCAGGGCUCUGUUGUUCCCAAAUCAGGGAGCUUUUGUUUUGCCAGGAGGAUCAUAAGGGCUGCUGAACAGAGCAUCAUACCCAAGGUGCGGCCGCAGGAGGGUAUUGGUGAGGGUGCACGUGGACCUAUGUGGACCAAAUAAUUUUUUUCCCCUAUACUUUUCCCCUCUAUUUUUCUCCUAUAUGCACCACAAAGAUGCUUUACAGCGCUCUGGUGGGCAGUCUGUGGGGUUUUAGUUCCAGCCUGGGAGUCGGUUUGUUCCUUUCUUUGCAAAGCUGUGUGCAGAGGGCAGUGCUGGGCUGCCCGGUGCCGGCAGUCACUGUGGUAGCUGGGACCCCCUGCCCCCCCAAGUGCCCCCAGGCCCAGGAGGGAGCCCCUCCCUGCCCCACAGCGCUGCUGCAUGCGGUGUUCUGAGUCCCUGACGAGUCAGCCCCAUGUGUGCCAUGGUACGAACUACUUGUCCAGUCCUAUGGAUAGAUUAUGCCCCCGCGGGGUUUUGUAGAUUAAUAGUAAAAGAACAACAAUGACAACAACAACAACAAAAAAGCACUUUUAAAUUAUUUAUAUUAUAAAAAGACAUUCUUUAUUUUUCUUGGCAUCGAUAUCACUUAGCUACAAAUCAGUUUGUAAGAAUGCUAUUGCAGAUUUUAAUCUAUAGCAAUGACCGAGCACGGGAUGCGGCUCUGGGGGCCGUGGGGGGGGGGGGGGGGGGGGGC